UACGUAGGGUCCAAGCGUUAUCCGGAAUCACUGGGCGUAAAGCGUGCGUAGGCGGCGCGUUAAGUGCAAUGCGAAAUCCUGUGGCUCAACCAUAUGGACUGUAUUGCAUACUGGCGUGCUUGAGGAUAUGAGAGGCAAGUGGAAUUACCGGUGUAGCAGUGAAAUGCGUAGAUAUCGGUAGGAACACCAAUGGCGAAGGCAGCUUGCUGGCAUAUUUCUGACGCUAAGGCACGAAAGCGUGGGGAGCGAACAGG
rnacentral:rRNA from 1 species